UUGACCUCGGAUCAGGUAGGGAUACCCGCUGAACUUAAGCAUAUCAAUAAGCGGAGGAAAAGAAACCAACAGGGAUUGCCCUAGUAACGGCGAGUGAAGCGGCAACAGCUCAAAUUUGAAAGCUAGCCUUCGGGUUCGCAUUGUAAUUUGUAGAGGAUGCUUUGGGGAAGUCGCCUGUCUAAGUUCCUUGGAACAGGACGUCAUAGAGGGUGAGAAUCCCGUAUGUGACAGGAAAUGACACCCUAUGUAAAGCUCCUUCGACGAGUCGAGUUGUUUGGGAAUGCAGCUCUAAAUGGGAGGUAAAUUUCUUCUAAAGCUAAAUACCGGCGAGAGACCGAUAGCGCACAAGUAGAGUGAUCGAAAGAUGAAAAGCACUUUGGAAAGAGAGUUAAAAAGCACGUGAAAUUGUUGAAAGGGAAGCGCUUGCAAUCAGACUUGUCUUUAACCGUUCGGCCGGUCUUCUGACCGGUUUACUCGGUAAUCGACAGGCCAGCAUCAGUUUCGGCGGUCGGAUAAAGGCCUUGGGAAUGUGGCUCUGCCUUCGGGGAGAGUGUUAUAGCCCAGGGUGUAAUACGGCCAGCCGGGACUGAGGUCCGCGAUUCGUCUAGGAUGCUGGCGUAAUGGUUGUAAGCGACCCGUCUUGAAACACGGACCAAGGAGUCUAACAUCUAUGCGAGUGUUCGGGUGUCAAACCCCUACGCGUAAUUAAAGUGAACGGAGGUGAGAACCGCAAGGUGCAUCAUCGACCGAUCCUGAUGUCUUCGGAUGGAUUUGAGUAAGAGCAUAGCUGUUGGGACCCGAAAGAUGGUGAACUAUGCCUGAAUAGGGUGAAGCCAGAGGAAACUCUGGUGGAGGCUCGCAGCGGUUCUGACGUGCAAAUCGAUCGUCAAAUUUGGGUAUAGGGGCGAAAGACUAAUCGAAC
rnacentral:rRNA from 1 species